rnacentral:pre_miRNA from 7 species
CUUUGGUCCCAGCACUAUGGAAGUAGAGGUGAAAGACCCCCGAAGGGAGACCCUCACUCAAGUCUCGGGAUAAUAGCAGACCCCCAAGAACCCACGAGAGACC